rnacentral:rRNA from 1 species
GACGAACGCUGGCGGCGUGCUUAACACAUGCAAGUCGAACGGAAAGGCCUGCUUUCCCUUGUGGAUUGCGGGUACUCGAGUGGCGAACGGGUGAGUAACACGUGAGUGAUCUGCCCCCAACUUGGGUAUAAGCCUGGGAAACUGGGUCUAAUUCCCGAUAGGACUGCAGGGUGGUGCCUGUGGUGGAAAACGAUUUUCUAGUGGUUGGGGAUGAGCUCGCGGCCCAUCAGCUUGUUGGUGGGGUAAUGGCCUACCAAGGCGGCGACGGGUAGCCGGCCUGAGAGGGUGGACGGCCACAUUGGGACUGAGAUACGGCCCAGACUCCUACGGGAGGCAGCAGUGGGGAAUAUUGCACAAUGGGCGGAAGCCUGAUGCAGCGACGCCGCGUGGGGGAUGACGGCCUUCGGGUUGUAAACUCCUUUCGACCGCGAGGAAGCCACCUGGUUGGAAGGGUGGUGACGGUAGUGGUAGAAGAAGCACCGGCUAACUACGUG